rfam:Triticum aestivum genome assembly, contig: Triticum_aestivum_CS42_TGACv1_scaffold_224370_3B
UUUGUACUUCCUCCGUCCGGAAAUACUUGUCAUCAAAAUGAAUAAAAGGGGAUGUAUCUAGAUGUAUUUUAGUUCUAGAUACAACAUCCCUUUUUGUUCAUUUUGACGACAAGUAUUUUCGGACGGAGGGAGUACUAU